UACAGAGGUGGCAAGCGUUGUUCGGAAUUACUGGGCGUAAAGGGCGCGUAGGCGGCCUUCUAAGUCAGACGUGAAAUCCCCCGGCUUAACCUGGGAACUGCGUCUGAUACUGGAGGGCUUGAGUGCGGGAGAGGGAUGUGGAAUUCCAGGUGUAGUGGUGAAAUGCGUAGAUAUCUGGAGGAACACCGGUGGCGAAGGCGGCAUCCUGGACCGGUAUUGACGCUGAGGAGCGAAAGCCAGGGGAGCAAACGGG
rnacentral:rRNA from 1 species